rnacentral:lncRNA from 1 species
GCAGAAAAAUCCUCGCCAGAAGCCCAGCAGAUACCAGUGCCAUGCUUCUUGUACAGCCUACAGAAACACAAAACUGAUCCUGUUGGAUAUAUUUUUGUUGAGGACUACGCUGGACUUUUUCUUGAGGACUACCUGGCUGGGUAUUCCCUGGACUCAAACACAGCCAUACCACAUUUGGAAGACAAAUUGGAAAAUGUGUAAUACUGAAGUGGAUUAAAGAUAGACACAAAUUUUUGACACUGUUCUCAUCAAAAGGUGCUGAUAACCUUCAGAACAUGGCAGCUGCUUUCCUUCUGCCUCCCAGAACUCACAACUUCCCUUUGGACCAACUCCAAUCUGAAAUUAUGUAGAAAGGGAGAGUCUGAAAAACAUAGUCCCAAACAUAACCAAGUAGACAAUAGAACAAUCUGGCACAUUGAUUGGUAUUUUGACUUAACCGCCAGAUCACCAGCAGCUCAUUGUAGGCAGGCGCAAGUAAAUAUCUCACCUCAAAUGCAACAAGUACAAAAUGAAUGCAUCAUAGUGUCCCAGGCUUCCAUUAAACAAAAACAAAUAAAUAAAACAAACAAAAAGCAAUCUUUUAUCCCUCAGCUUUAUUAAUGCAUAACUAACAAAUAAAAAUGGUAUAUAUAUUUAUGGUGUACAUCAUGACAUUUCUUUCCGUGUAUACAAAAAGCAAUCUUUCUGAGUACUGCUCAGUUACCACUACCUCUAAGUGAUCCUGUGUAUUCCACACCCUAAGUGUCCAUCUGACCUUCCUCACUGCCCUGUGUCCCAGCAGUCUCUGCCUUCUAUCAAGCUUUCCUCUUUGCUUUCCCGCAUUAAUGAAGUGCUCCUCUCUCUUGCCACCCUGCCUCCAAUCUCGCCCUGCUCCAAACCUUCCAUUAAACCACAUGAAUCUUUCUAAAAUGUAAAAUUCUGCUUAUUUUACUUAAAUUAUUUUAGUGACUCCGUAUCACCUAUCAUAUACAUCUUUCUUGGUGUGAUAUGAAAGACCCCUCAUAUAUAUUCUGACCCCCACCUACAUUUUUAGCCCCUCUCCUGUCCUAAUCCCAAAUGCACUGUGCCCCAACUAUUUUAAACUAUUUGUAAAACCCUGAUUAUAGGAUUAUGUCAACACAGGAGUCUGUGUGCCUUCCUCCCCUUGCAAAUACAGUUGCCUGACAAACUCCUUCUCAUCCCAUAGGAUUUGACUCAAACAUGACCUUCUUUGUGGUGUCCUCCUUGUUUCCUCACCUUCUCCCAAUCCCCAAAGUCAGUCCAUAACAUUCUCCUAACAGUGGAUAGCAUGUGCCAUGCUGUACCAGGUCUGCUGAUUUACAUGUCUGUCUUCUGUGCUAGUUGUGAGCUCCUCAAUGUUAAGGACCACAUCUCAUUCAUCUUUGUAGUCCCAGACACUAACACUUCCCAGGUGCAUGGUAGGGGCUCAAUAAACAUUUGGUUAAGAAAUUAAUUGAUGAAUCACAAGAUCUGACAUGUUUAAAUAUUUUAUUCCAUAUUUAUAGCUGCUUCCAUACAAAUUAUGAUUCCCAUAAAACAUAGGUUUACAUUUACCAAAAAAAAAAUUAAUUUGGGGGUAAUCCAAUACAUGUACAUGGCCAAAUAAUGAAAUUCAGUUUAAAUCUUGAAAUGGCCCUAAAUCAUAUGACCUCAUUGAUCAGAUUAAUAAGAUUAUUUCUAAAUCUCAAUUUCACCAGUGAUGUUUAAACAUAUUUUUGACCUGCCAUUGGAAUACAGAACAACAAAGGAAACAUCUGGUUGUUCUUAACUUUGGGGAGACAAAUCCAUUUGUUAACAGUAGCAAUAGGAGAGCUGACAGAACCUGAUAACAGCUCCAACACAGGGAGCUCAGCCCACAACAGAUGGACCAGACACUUCAGGGAAAGCUUUAAAAAGAUGUCUUUUCUAAUUCAGGUUAUACACUCCUUGAAAGUUCCUUCAACAUAAGCAUGAAAGUUUGCAGAUGAUUUUAUCAGGUCUGACAGCUUUUUUCUAGAGGUUAGUUUGCAAUUGCCUCUCGG